rnacentral:rRNA from 1 species
UACGUAGGGUGCGAGCGUUGUCCGGAAUUACUGGGCGUAAAGAGCUCGUAGGCGGUCUGUCGCGUCUGCUGUGAAAACUCGGGGCUUAACCCCGGGCCUGCAGUGGGUACGGGCAGACUAGAGUGCGGUAGGGGAGACUGGAAUUCCUGGUGUAGCGGUGAAAUGCGCAGAUAUCAGGAGGAACACCGGUGGCGAAGGCGGGUCUCUGGGCCGUAACUGACGCUGAGGAGCGAAAGCAUGGGGAGCGAACAGG